GGGGAUAUGGCUUAGUGGUAGAGUGUUUGCCUAGCAAGCAUGAAGCCCUGGGUUCAAUUCCUCAGUACCA
rfam:Dipodomys ordii ctg_broad_rename0039035, whole genome shotgun sequence.